rnacentral:rRNA from 1 species
CCUACGGGAGGCAGCAGUGGGGAAUAUUGGACAAUGGGCGAAAGCCUGAUCCAGCAAUGCCGCGUGAGUGAUGAAGGCCUUCGGGUCGUAAAGCUCUUUUACCAGGGAUGAUAAUGACAGUACCUGGAGAAUAAGCUCCGGCUAACUCCGUGCCAGCAGCCGCGGUAAUACGGAGGGAGCUAGCGUUGUUCGGAAUUACUGGGCGUAAAGAGUACGUAGGCGGUUAUUCAAGUCAGAGGUGAAAGCCCGGGGCUCAACCCCGGAACUGCCUUUGAAACUAGAUAACUAGAGUCUUGGAGAGGUUAGUGGAAUUCCGAGUGUAGAGGUGAAAUUCGUAGAUAUUCGGAAGAACACCAGUGGCGAAGGCGACUAACUGGACAAGUACUGACGCUGAGGUACGAAAGCGUGGGGAGCAAACAGGAUUAGAUACCCUGGUAGUCCACGCCGUAAACGAUGAUAACUAGUUGUUCGGUCACUUGGUGACUGAGUGACGCAGCUAACGCAUUAAGUUAUCCGCCUGGGGAGUACGGUCGCAAGAUUAAAACUUAAAGGAAAUUGACGG